rnacentral:rRNA from 1 species
CCAGACUCCUACGGGAGGCAGCAGUGAGGAAUAUUGGUCAAUGGGCGAGAGCCUGAACCAGCCAAGUCGCGUGAGGGAGUACUGCCCUAUGGGUUGUAAACCUCUUUUGCCGGGGAGCAGGCGUGCGUUCGUGAACGCGCGUCGAGAGUACCCGGAGAAAAAGCAUCGGCUAACUCCGUGCCAGCAGCCGCGGUAAUACGGAGGAUGCGAGCGUUAUCCGGAUUUAUUGGGUUUAAAGGGUGCGUAGGCGGGAUGCCAAGUCAGCGGUAAAAAUGCGGUGCUCAACGCCGUCGAGCCGUUGAAACUGGCGUUCUUGAGUGGGCGAGAAGUAUGCGGAAUGCGUGGUGUAGCGGUGAAAUGCAUAGAUAUCACGCAGAACUCCGAUUGCGAAGGCAGCAUACCGGCGCCCUACUGACGCUGAGGCACGAAAGCGUGGGUAUCGAACAGGAUUAGAUACCCGCGUAU